CCUACGGGAGGCAGCAGUGGGGAAUAUUGCGCAAUGGGCGAAAGCCUGACGCAGCGACGCCGCGUGAGGGAUGAAGGUCUUCGGAUCGUAAACCCCUGUCAGCAGGGAAGAACGGUCACUUUGCUAAUCAGUAGUGAACUGACGGUACCUGCACAGGAAGCACCGGCUAACUCCGUGUCAGCAGCCGCGGUAAUACGGAGGAUGCGAGCGUUAGCCGGAUUUAUUGGGUUGAAAGGGUGCGUAGGUUGUUUUGUAAGUCAGCGGUGAAAGUUUGUGGCUUAACCAUAAAAUUGCCGUUGAAACUGGAAGACUAGAGUAUGUGUGAGGUAGGCGGAAUGCGUGGUGUAGCGGUGAAAUGCAUAGAGAUCACGCAGAACACCGAUUGCGAAGGCAGCUUACUAAGCCAUAACUGACACUGAAGCACGAAAGCGUGGGGAGCAAACAGGAUUAGAUACCCCGGUAGUC
rnacentral:rRNA from 1 species